rnacentral:ncRNA from 1 species
GUCAAAAUUGGGUUGAUCAAUUUGUUUUCCUUGAAUUUGUUCCAUCAAUCUGACUGUGAUACCUACUGGUCGAACAGAGACGAAAGUCGGCCAUAGUGAUCCGGGAGUCCUGUGUGGAAGGGCUCUCGCUCAA